UGUGUCAAAUUCAUUGUCCACUUUUCUGUGAUGGGGAUUGGUCCACAGCUACAUCUGUAGUUCAUGGACCCAAGAACUGUGGGCUCUGGGGAUAGUUUGUCUGCAGACACUA